rnacentral:rRNA from 1 species
GACGAACGCUGGCGGCGUGCUUAACACAUGCAAGUCGAACGGAAAGGCCCUGCUUUUGUGGGGUGCUCGAGUGGCGAACGGGUGAGUAACACGUGAGUAACCUGCCCUUGACUUUGGGAUAACUUCAGGAAACUGGGGCUAAUACCGGAUAGGAGCUCCUGCUGCAUGGUGGGGGUUGGAAAGUUUCGGCGGUUGGGGAUGGACUCGCGGCUUAUCAGCUUGUUGGGGGGGUAGUGGCUUACCAAGGCUUUGACGGGUAGCCGGCCUGAGAGGGUGACCGGCCACAUUGGGACUGAGAUACGGCCCAGACUCCUAUGGGAGGCAGCAGUGGGGAAUAUUGCACAAUGGGCGGAAGCCUGAUGCAGCAACGCCGCGUGCGGGAUGACGGCCUUCAGGUUGUAAACCGCUUUCGCCUGUGACGAAGCGUGAGUGACGGUAAUGGGUAAAGAAGCACCGGCUAACUACGUG